AUACUCUUGAAGUUCUUGAGGGCCAGGGAGUUCAAAGUAAAAGAUGCAUUUAUCAUGAUCCAGAGCACAAUCCGAUGGAGGAAGGAAUUUAAAAUCGAUGAACUUCUUGAUGAAGAUCUCGGUGAUGAUUUGGAUAAAGUGGUUUUUAUGCAUGGUCAUGACAGGGAGGGUCAUCCCGUAUGCUACAAUGUCUAUGGGGAAUUCCAGAAUAAAGAAUUGUAUCAGAAGACAUUUGCUGACGAGGCGAAGAGAACGAGGUUUCUACGGUGUCGGAUUCAGUUUUUGGAAAGGAGUAUCAGGAAACUCGAUUUUAGUCCUGGUGGUAUUUCUACCAUCUUUCAGGUUAAUGAUCUCAAGAAUUCUCCUGGACCUGGAAAACGUGAGCUUAGGUUGGCUACCAGCCAGGCUCUCCAAUUGCUUCAAGACAAUUACCCUGAGUUUGUAGCUAAACAGGUAUUCAUCAAUGUUCCAUGGUGGUAUCUUGCUUUUUAUACAAUGAUCAGUCCAUUCAUGACUCAGAGGACCAAAAGCAAAUUUGUAUUUGCAGGCCCAUCAAAAUCUGCUGAUACACUUUUCAAAUAUAUAUCACCUGAGCAAGUGCCUAUUCAGUAUGGUGGCUUGAGCGUGGAUUACUGUGAUUGCAACCCAGAAUUUACCGUUGCUGAUCCUGCAACUGAGAUAACUGUGAAACCAGCAACAAAGAAAACUGUGGAAAUUAUAAUUUAUGAGAAAUGUAUAAUUGUCUGGGAAAUCCGGGUUGUUGGGUGGGAGGUGAGCUAUGGUGCUGAGUUUGUGCCUGAUGCCAAAGACGCAUAUACAGUUAUCAUACAGAAACCGACGAAAUUGGCCUCAACUGAUGAACCAGUGGUGACUAGCAGCUUCAAAGUUGGUGAACUGGGUAAAAUAAUGCUCACAGUGGACAAUUCAACCUCAAAA
rnacentral:misc_RNA from 1 species